AGCGAACGCUGGCGGCAGGCCUAACACAUGCAAGUCGAACGGUAACAGGUCUUCGGAUGCUGACGAGUGGCGAACGGGUGAGUAAUGCAUCGGAACGUGCCCAGUAGUGGGGGAUAGCCCGGCGAAAGCCGGAUUAAUACCGCAUACGACCUAAGGGUGAAAGGGGGGGAUCGCAAGACCUCUCGCUAUUGGAGCGGCCGAUGUCAGAUUAGCUAGUUGGUGGGGUAAAGGCCUACCAAGGCAACGAUCUGUAGUUGGUCUGAGAGGACGACCAGCCACACUGGGAAUGAGACACGGCCCAGACUCCUACGGGAGGCAGCAGUGGGGAAUUUUGGACAAUGGGCGCAAGCCUGAUUCAGCAAUGCCGCGUGCAGGAAGAAGGCCUUCGGGUUGUAAACUGCUUUUGUCAGGGAAGAAAUCUUCUGGGUUAAUACCUCGGGAGGAUGACGGUACCUGAAGAAUAAGCACCGGCUAACUACGUGCCAGCCGCCGCCGUAACAC
rnacentral:rRNA from 1 species